GCUUGCUGUCAAUAAAUAUGUGGGUAAAUCUCUGUUUGGGGCUCUCAGCUCUGAAGGCUGUGAGACCCGAUUUCCCACUCCACACUCUGUAUUUCUGUGUGAGUGUCUUUAAUUCCUCUGGCGCCGCUGGGUUAGGGUCUCCACGACUGAGCUGAUCUCAGUAUCUACCACAUUCUGCUUUAUUCUCUUCUCUAGGGUAAGAAAAAUCACAAUACAUGGGUAUUCAAUAAAAUUCAAUUAAUUUAAGCCUGACUCUUGAGAAUGUGCAAUUGAAGGUUAUGAAUGUGUCACACCUAAGGUGGUGGUAGAAGUCUCUGGCACAUGGAAAAUGCCUGUUUUAACUUUUAGCUAUUUUUUUCAGGUUUUUGUCAUUAGAAUAUUUCUUCUGUUUCUACUGCAAAUAACUAUCAAAAAGGAAAAGAACAACUAGGAUGGCCUCCCCUGUUUAUCAUUGGCCCUACAAUUUUCUAGGAGUAAUAUCUUUUUGGAAUUAUGUAAUGUCCUCUGCUAAUGACAGUGUAUAGAUGCUAUUACAUUUCCUUGGGGGACAAAGUACUGUUGUCUGGAAGCUUUGAGAUUAAUGUAACACAAAGUAAAUAAGGAAGCGUUUUGCAUAUUCUUAGAUUUUUACAUUUUUAUUUUAAAACAGAGAAUUUCAUAUUGAUUAACACCUACUACUAAACAGAAUGAUGCAUUAAUUAAAUGCCUUGUCCUAACUGUUAUAAGCUCUGUUAGAAAAAUAAACAUCUCACCACAAACUACAGUGUCAGCUCUUUAAUAAAUACAUAAAACAGAAGUUAGUAGUCAAUCAGAGUUAUAUGAACAGGUUCAUAGUAUAUUAUGUGAAAGUAUCAUAUUCUCCAAUAUUCUGUAUCAUUUAAGACAAUUUAAGUUACGUAUAAUUCAAAGCCAGAAAUAAUAAGAAAUAUGUUCAGUGAUAAUUUGCUUCUUUCUUAGAGCUAUUUUAUAUUCAAAUAUUUAAUUUAAAAAUAUAUUCUAUAUUAAAUUUAUUUUUACAAACGCAGUAUUCGUUAGGUGAAACAAAAUAAGUUUUUAUGUUACUGAUAAGUUUAAUACAUUUCUAAUUUUUUUCAGAAGUUCAAGAAACCAUAAUGAAGUAGCUAAUGUAAAAUAGUUUAAAAGCUAUGUUAAAUAUACACAAAAUGAAUUUCUAUAUUAAUAUGUGCAAAUGUAUAUUUUCUUAUAAUUUAGAAUUAAAGUACUUUAUACUCAAUAUUCUUAAUAAAAUUUAUGUACCAUACUUGUCAUUGCGUAGACUUCUUAUCAAAAUUUCACAUUUAUCUGUAGGAAAAUGUAAAGUUGGUAAAAAUUGUUUACACAAAUCACACAUUUUCCAUCCUUGACAAUUGCAGUGUUUUUUUUUUAAAUAUUGCUGUAUUAGACAAUUUUAACUGAAGUAGGUUGUAGAGGCUAGAAGAAACCUGAUUAAUAGAGUUAGCUUACAAAGAUAAAUUUUAUGCAGAAAAGUAUUCCAGGUAGAUAAAAGAGUAGUGUUAUUACUCUCAGGUUUACCUACCCAUUCUUGUUAGUUAAGUUAGGGUUUGCUGAAAUCAUUCGCACUCACGUAAAGUAUAAAUGGGGACCUGAAAGAGCUUUUGUAAACUCAAGAUAUGCGGGAUCUGAGCUGAUAAUCAGUUAGGCUCCAUGUUGAGUUGUGCGUGACUCAGUUGUCCUUAAAUUUCGCCUUCAUAUUUUGUCAUAAAUGGGCUCUCAAAUCUUUAUAAGAAAACAAAAUUUGCCUAGAUGCAUAAACAUUUAGGUAAAGUUGGAUUAGUGUAAUAUUUAUUCAAGCAUAAUUUUAAACACUGCAUCUGAAGUGCCAACAGUUGCAAGAAAUGUCACAAUUUCAGAGAUGUUAAAUUGAAAAAGUGAUGUCUUGGAAUCAAUGAAAUAUAAAUAUGGAUAUGUAUAAUCAGUUAUACAUAAAAAUUUGCUAUAGAGGAAUUAUAAAAGAAAAGGAAAAUUAUUUGAAAGAAUGUUAGCUAUAUCUCAGUGGUCUGCAUUGCAUAAAAUGGAGUUCUUGAGGUCAAUAUAAAUAAGGAUAGUUGUAAAUUAAAUAUUGAGUCAACAUAACAGAAUGCAAUCUGCACAUGAUUGAGCUCCCAUGUAACUAUAUUUCACUUGAUACUUUUAUGAAAACAUAUAUAUUCCAAAUCCUUCAAAAUGAAAAGAAGCUCAAACAGUUGUGAAAAUUUAGAAUUCUUAGAUUUUAAUGGGUCUGUCUUUGUUCAGGGGCAAAGACUCAAAUGAGCUUUAAGAUCAAUUAAAGAUGUCUGGAAAUGAAGAACUUCAUUAUACCAUUAAAUUCAGUUAUUUUUCACUAUUAGGCUUAUUAAGCUUGAAGCUUUAGGAAAUCUCUUGGGAAGAGUGAGUGGAAAAAACAGGAGUAAGAAAAGGAAGAAAAAGCCUUUGAGUCUAAUCUACUCUACCAGGUUCCAGGAAGAAUAUAAUUCUACAGAGAAAAUUCUUCAUAAUCUAUCAUAAUAUAUUUCAGUGUCUGAUGGCUGACUCUUGUCUUGCAUAAAGAUAUCUUCAGUGGAUAUUAAGUAAAUAUUAAAAAUAUAUUUCAGAUUCAUUCUUUGAAGGAUUGCAUCUCAUGCAUCCACAAAUUUUAAUGUUGAGUUUUGGAAAAUUGCCUCCAGAGAUAUCUACUGUGUUUAAUCUUAGAUUUUUUUUUUAUUUUAAUAAACCAAAGAUAAACUGAACAUUUAAGACAUAAUCAGAUUUUUAGUGAAUUUUUAAGUCCUCCAGAAAAGUCUAUGACUUAAUAAAUAUUAGCAAGUUUCCAAAAAUAUAACAAAUGUUUAUAAAUACGUGUGCACUGCAGUGCAAUGGUGUCCCCAGAGAAAUAAAAUGCAUAACAAAGCAAAUGUUAUGUUGUAGUGUAUGUAUGGCACAUUUAUAAAUCAUUACAUACUUUAGGGCACAAAAAUGCUGCAGUACUAAAAGUGUUGUUCAAGUUCUCAAUUCUGUUAACAAUUUAAAAUUUCAUUAAUUGUGUUUAAUAUCAAUGAAUCUCAAAAGGCUCCUGUGGCCAUAUUAGUUGAAAAUAGACUCUAUUUGCAUACAUUAUUUAACCUAAGAGUACCCUGUGUUCCCUUACCAUUUAAUUAAUUCUAACUAGUCAAAUAUUAAUUCUCAUCUCACAAAUCAUUACACAGGAAGAUAUCAAUUAUUCAAGUAAAAUACAAGCCCUACAAUCUUUAAAAAUUAGCUUUUUAAGUAAAAACAAAAAAGAUAAGCACAAGACUUUGCAAGCAUAACCACAAUCAUCGUCUAACACUGAGUUGCCUACAAGGAAGUUUGUCCCUUCCUAUGGUAACAGCCUUGGUCCACUAUAAAGUUAGUGCAAACAAGUGAGGGUAUAAAAAAAAUAUAAACUCUGGAUUUUUAAGGAUUUCAUUUUGUUAUACUCUUUUUGGAUAAUUCAUUCCAUACGGAAAUUUGUUUAUUGUUCAUAAAUAUCAUAAUGUUCAUUUCAAAAAUUGUCAUCAUCUUAAUGGCUAUGGUGCGAAGGAAUUCCCCUGUAGGUAUGCCAUACUUCAGUCUCUUAAGAAGCUGAUUAGCAUGAAAGACUGGAAGCUGAUUAUGGACAAUUCAGUUUGAAUUAUUCCUUUCUAUUUUGCUUUGAACUUUCCUCAUACACUUAAGACAUGAGUAAAUCACAUUGAAAAACAUUUGCCAAUUGAAUAUUUUAAAGAUUCAAGAGGUAGCAUGAUAUUGUGCAAUGAACACUGGCCUGACAAUGAGAAGAUAAAAACUCCUUUCCAAUGUGGCCACUUUAUCACUUGAGUGUUUUCUGAGAAAUCGUUUAAGUUUUCUGAGGCUCAGUUCCCUAACUCACUAAAAAGGAGAAUUAGCAGCCUGGCAUGGUGGCUCAUGCCUGUAAUCCCAACACUCUGGGAGGCCGAGGAGGGUAGAUCACCUGAGGUCAGGAGUUUGAGAUCAACCUGUCCAACAUGGCAAAACCCCGUCUCUACUAAAAAUACAAAAAUUAGCUGGGCACGGUGGUGGAUGCCUGUAAUCCCAGCUACUCAGGAGGCUGAGGCAGGAGAACUGCUUGAACCCGGGAGGCAGAGGUUGCAGUGAACCCUAAUUGCGCCAUUGCACUUCAGCCUGGGUGACAAGAGUGAAACUCCGUCUCAAAAAAAAAAAAAAAAAAAAAAAAAGCUUAUUUCUAAGAUAUCAUCUAUUCUCCAAUUUUGUACUUUUAUGAAUUCUGGCAAGAAGGGUUGGAGUGAUUCUGGGAAAGAACAUCCUUAGGCUGCCUUGAAGGGAGAAGAUAAUAUAGCUUUUCAUUUAAAAAAUGCUGAUAUCUACUUGCAAUCAAAAUCUAAGAAAACAUUCAAAAUGUGGUACUUUGCUUGAGGCAGAAUUUCUAACUAUCUUGUGAAUUAAUGAUAAGAUAAAUGAAAUGGCCAAACAAUCCCUUCAGUUUACCAGGUAAGAGGAUACAAAACUCCACACUUGUGCACAAUGAAGCUAUUCAGGUUUUGAUGAUACUUUACAGUGUCCCCUAUUAACAUUCAGCUUUUAAAACUAGUAUUCUGAUAAAGUGACAUUGUAUUAUUAGUUUUUUAUGGCAGUAGUAACUUAGCACUUAAUUAAUCCAGUCAUCUGUGACAUACAUAAACUUAUCCUGUAAAAAAGA
rnacentral:lncRNA from 10 species